rnacentral:rRNA from 1 species
CAAGUCGAAGGGCAACGGGGAGAGUGCCUGCACUCUCUGCCGGCGACUGGCGCACGGGUGAGUAACACGUAUGCAACCUGCCCUCCACAGGGGGACAACCUUCCGAAAGGGAGGCUAAUCCCGCGUAUAUUCCCUGGGGGCAUCCCUGGGGGAGGAAAGGGUUACCGGUGGAGGAUGGGCAUGCGGCGCAUUAGGCAGUAGGCGGGGUAACGGCCCACCUAACCGACGAUGCGUAGGGGUUCUGAGAGGAAGGUCCCCCACACUGGUACUGAGACACGGACCAGACUCCUACGGGAGGCAGCAGUGAGGAAUAUUGGUCAAUGGGCGGGAGCCUGAACCAGCCAAGCCGCGUGAAGGAAGAAGGCGCCAGGCGUCGUAAACUUCUUUUGUCGGGGAACAAAGGGCGCCACGCGUGGCGUUGUGAGUGUACCCGAAGAAAAAGCAUCGGCUAACUCCGUGCCAGCAGCCGCGGUAAUACGGAGGAUGCGAGCGUUAUCCGGAUUUAUUGGGUUUAAAGGGUGCGUAGGCGGUCCGUUAAGUCAGCGGUAAAAUUGCGGGGCUCAACCCCGUCGAGCCGUUGAAACUGGCAGACUUGAGUUGGCGAGAAGUACGCGGAAUGCGCGGUGUAGCGGUGAAAUGCAUAGAUAUCGCGCAGAACUCCGAUUGCGAAGGCAGCGUACCGGCGCCAGACUGACGCUGAGGCACGAAAGCGUGGGGAUCGAACAGGAUUAGAUACCCUGGUAGUCCACGCAGUAAACGAUGAAUGCUGGUUGUCCGGGUCGAAUGAGACCUGGGCGGCGAAGCGAAAGCGAUAAGCAUUCCACCUGGGGAGUA